AUGAACGUAGUCCCAGUCCGAUCGGCAUUUGUCACUUGUCCAGGGCUCUGCGUUUCAGCACUCAAUCGUCCCCUUCUCCAAACGCUGCGUCUCACGCCGCGUAUCGGUCGAUCUCUCGGUUCAAGGAGGCUGCUUACUGCGUAUUAUUGGUAAGGCUACCAAAUUCCACUACUAAUUUUCCAUGAAGUAAUAUUAUAAAGAGUUGAUAUGAAAAUUCUUGGAAUUCUUUCAUUCAAAGGAUGUUCAGUGAUCUCUAAAUUAAAUUUGCUUUGUUUGACCGUACAAAUUAAUUUGAAUGUGAAUUCAAUUUUUAAAUUUGUAAAUUCAAAUUCUGCUUCAAAAUUGAUUUUAUAUAUUGACUAGGAUGAACUUAAUUUAAGUGUAAUUCAACUCCACUAACAUCUAAAGAAGUCAAAAUAAUUGAAUUGAAAUUGGGGUCUUAUUAUCCAAGGCCCCAGUCCUAUGCAUUCAACAACAUAUUAUUUUUUUCUGCCACUCAAUCCACUAGUAAUUGCAUCAAAUUGCUCCCCAAGCAACAAUACGCUAUAAAAGCUUGGUGAAAAAUCUGUUUUAGGUGAAUUAAGUGAUUGUUAAAGUAGUUGCUUCACUUGGCUCUCUAACAACACUACCACUUUUUUUACUUGGUACGAAGGUAGAAUGUAUUUUUCCUACCACUUGUAUAUGAUGGAUUUAACUUUAUUUGUGAUAUCUUAUUUCUUUUUUUAAAAUAUUCAUUGCUUUGACAAUUGAUUUGUGUUUAGUCAUAGGAAGAACUCUACUUAGGAUAUUGUGCCUAUUUGCCUAUUUGGUUUACAAGUUCCAUAAGAGACAUCUAUAAUCAUAUGAUAGCAUUGAAGAAUUCCUACGGAGUCACAAAAAUCUUCAACCUAUCAAGUACUCAUAUUCAGAUAUAAAGAAGAUGACUUAUAACUUUGCGAAUAAAUUAGGUCAAGGAGGCUUUGACUCUAUAUAUAAAAGAAAACUUCGAAGUGGUCGCAUUGUAGCUGUAAAAGUGUUGAUGAUGUCAAAAGCUAAUGGACAAGAUUUCAUCAAUGAAGUUGCUACAAUAGGAAGGAUUCAUCAUGUUAAUAUGGUGAGACUUGUUGGAUUUUGUGUACAAGGAUCAAAAUGGGCACUUAUAUAUGAUUACAUGCCCAAUGGCUCUCUUGAUAAGUUUAUUUUUCUUAAAGAAGAAAAUAACACUCUUUUGAGCUUGGAAAGGUUGUAUAAGAUUGCACUUGGAGUGGGGCGUGGGAUUAAAUACUUACAUCAAGAUUGUGAUAUGCAAAUUCUACAUUUUGAUAUCAAGCCACACAAUAUUCUUCUUAAUGAAAACUUUACACCAAAAGUUUCAGAUUUUGGUUUUGCCAAAUUGUAUUCGACAAAUGAAAGUAUAGUAUCUCUCACUGCUGCACGAGGAACAUUGGGAUAUAUUGCUCCAGAAUUGUUCUAUAAAAACAUUGGAGGUGUCUCAUACAAAUUAAGAUGAUAUUUAUAGUUUUGGAAUGUUAUUGUUGGAAAUGGUAGGAAGAAAAAAGAAUGUGAAUGCAAAUGCAGAGCACUCGAGUCAAAUAUAUUUUCCAUCAUGGAUUUACGACAAAUAUGAUCAAGGAGAGAAUAUAGACUUGGAAGAUGCUACUGAAGAUGAAAAUAAGUUUGUAAAGAAAAUGGUUAUAGUUGCACUAUGGUGUAUAUAGAUGAAGUCGAUAGACUCCCCUUCAAUGAGCAAAGCCUUGGAGAUGUUGGAAGGAAAGGUUGAGUUGUUAGAAAUGCCUCCUAAGCCUACUCUAUAUUAUGAAGAAAUCUAAAUUGAGGAUCAUAUCAACAAUCCAAUAGGAGCAUCAAUUUCCUUGCACAAUUCCAUGGAUAUGUAGCAUUUUACCUACUUGCAUUCUCUCUUGUGAUAUCAUAUGUUUGUAAUUUGGCAUAGAUGUAUGCAUGGGCUGUAACUCCUCCUGCAAGGUCCAAUAUAUAAUGUAGUAUUGUCUUGAGGCA